rnacentral:rRNA from 1 species
CGGUUUUCCAUAACUCUGAGGUGCGAAGUGGUUCUGACCUUUUGGUACAGAGAAGUCAUUGAUGCCCGGCUUCCAGGAAAAGCUGCUAGCCAUAACUUAUAGAGAACCGUACCGCAAACCGACACAGGUGGACAGGUAGAGAAUACUAAGGCGCUUGAGAGAACUCGGGUGAAGGAACUAGGCAAAAUGGUACCGUAACUUCGGGAGAAGGUACGCCCUUUUGGGUGAGGGCAUUUACUGUCUGAGCUUAAGAGGGCCGCAGAGACCAGGUGGCUGCGACUGUUUAUUAAAAACACAGCACUCUGCAAAUUCGUAAGAAGACGUAUAGGGUGUGACGCCUGCCCGGUGCCGGAAGGUUAAUUGAUGGGGUUAUCUUCGGAGAAGCUCUUGAUCGAAGCCCCGGUAAACGGCGGCCGUAACUAUAACGGUCCUAAGGUAGCGAAAUUCCUUGUCGGGUAAGUUCCGACCUGCACGAAUGGCGUAACGAUGGCCACACUGUCUCCACCCGAGACUCAGUGAAAUUGAAAUCGCUGUGAAGAUGCAGUGUACCCGCGGCUAGACGGAAAGACCCCGUGAACCUUUACUAUAGUUUUGCACUGGACUUUGAUGAUGACUGUGUAGGAUAGGUGGGAGGCUGUGAAGUGAGGACGCUAGUUCUCAUGGAGCCGCCCUUGAAAUACCACCCUGUUGUUAUUGAGGUUCUAACUUGGUCCAGUAAUCCUGGAUGAGGACAGUGUAUGAUGGGUAGUUUGACUGGGGCGGUCUCCUCCCAAAGAGUAACGGAGGAGCACAAAGGUACCCUCGGUACGGUCGGACAUCGUACCAAGAGUGUAAAGGCAAAAGGGUGCUUGACUGCGAGAGUGACGGCUCGAGCAGGAACGAAAGUUGGUCUUAGUGAUCCGGUGGUUCUGAAUGGAAGGGCCAUCGCUCAACGGAUAAAAGGUACUCCGGGGAUAACAGGCUGAUACCGCCCAAGAGUUCAUAUCGACGGCGGUGUUUGGCACCUCGAUGUCGGCUCAUCACAUCCUGGGGCUGAAGCAGGUCCCAAGGGUAUGGCUGUUCGCCAUUUAAAGUGGUACGCGAGCUGGGUUUAGAACGUCGUGAGACAGUUCGGUCCCUAUCUGCCGUGGGCGUAGGAAAAUUGAGAGGAGCUGCUCCUAGUACGAGAGGACCGGAGUGGACGAACCUCUGGUGCACCGGUUGUCACGCCAGUGGCAUGGCCGGGUAGCUAAGUUCGGACGGGAUAACCGCUGAAAGCAUCUAAGCGGGAAGCCUCCCUCAAGAUGAGUUUUCCCAUGAAGCCCGUUGAAGACUACGACGUUGAUAGGCAAGGUGUGGAAGCGCAGUAAUGCGUGAAGCUAACUUGUACUAAUUGGCUGAUUGUCUUGACCAUAUAAUCUGAG